rnacentral:rRNA from 1 species
CAAUUGGAGGGCAAGUCUGGUGCCAGCAGCCGCGGUAAUUCCAGCUCCAAUAGCGUAUAUUAAAAUUGUUGCAGUUAAAAAGCUCGUAGUUGAAUUUCUGCUGCAUUGCUUUUGCUCCUUUACGAGUCUUUGCAUUGUGGCUUAUUUCGGACUUUGUUUUACAAUGUCCGGAUGUUUACUUUGAGAAAAUUAGAGUGCUCAAAGCAGGCUUUCGCCUUGAAUAGUUUAGCAUGGAAUAAUAAAGUAGGACUUUGGUUCUAUUUUGUUGGUUUUAGGUACCAAAGUAAUGGUUAAUAGGAACAGUUGGGGGCAUUCGUAUUUAACUGUCAGAGGUGAAAUUCUUAGAUUUGUUAAAGACGAACUACUGCGAAAGCAUUUGCCAAGGAUGUUUUCAUUAAUCAAGAACGAAAGUUAGGGGAUCGAAGACGAUCAGAUACCGUCGUAGUCCUAACCAUAAACUA